GGGGACCUUUCACAACAGUGUGAAAAUAGGCCGACCGUGACACCACCGCACCGGUUCUGCAGUCCAUCUCUACGAUACAACUAACGAUGCCGCCCUUUCUUCCCCCUCUCACAGGACGACGCAUCUCUGGCACUCCGCCGCGGCACCGUGGGCGAGGCCCAGAUCCCCAGACUUGGUCCACCAUCGCGGCACGGCUUACGCAGGCACCCCCUCUAGCAUCUGCUGUUCAAGCAUUUAACAUGGUUCAAAUUUCGAUUCAGGAUUUUAGGAUCACUGCACCAUGGCGUACAGCAUCAACCAGCCAAGUGGAAUCAGUCCCCUUUUUGUCCCCCGUUGGACAACCAUAACAACAAGAACCACAAUAAUGAUUCUCUGAAGAAUUCCUUGGCACCUUGUCAACUUUGAAGCCAAGAUUUUCACAGCCUUUACGAAGGACUUGAUUUUGGAAUCCCUCUUCUGCACAAUCCUCUGUUACACCGAUUCUUUCACACACAGUAUCCAUGGCUGAUAAAUAUUGGGAGCUCCCAAAGAGUGGGAUCUUGUGGUUCUCAACCCAUUCCCAGAGCACAGACUCAGGUGUUUUGAUGGACGCAGACCAGUUUAUAGCAGAUCCUCCACCUAGUGUUGAUCCUGCUAGAAUCAUCACUUUAGCAUCAGUAGUUGGAAUGAUGCCUCCUAGUUCAUAGAGCUGAUUAAAAGAUGGUCCUUCCAAAGAAGAAUAAUCUGCUGGAGAAAAAUAAUUUCCUUUCUCGAGAACCACCACCUUCUGGCCAGAACCUGCAAGAACAGCAGCUGCAACACCUCCACCGCACCCACUACCAACAAUUGCUACAUCACAUUUGAUCUUAUAGAGGUUUCUUUGGGUAUCUUCAACGACUUUGAGGCCUUUCUGGAUCAGGGAUUGGAGGAUGGUUGAAUCAGUUUCAUACAUGGUCUCUACCAUUCCAUUCUGAAGGGGCCUCUCUUUCCGCAAUCUAGACAGGUUUUCAUUAGCGAACACUUUGUAAUCCAUGGCUUCCCAUGCUGGGUUUUCUGAAUCCUCAUUAGUCUGUCGAAAGAUUGUUGAAAUAAAAAAUUUUAAAAGGGUCUUCUAUUUACAGUUAAUGUAUCUGCAAGUUGUUAAA